GCAGUUUGCAUCCUGGCUCACGAUGAACGCUAGCGACAGGCCUAACACAUGCCAGUCGAGGGGCAGCACAUGAGUAGCACUACGAUGGCGGCGACCGGCGCACGGGUGCCGUAACACGUAUGCCACCUACCUGUAAGAGGGGAAUAACCCGGAGUAAAUUCGGACUAAUACCGCAUAACACUUUAUCUCUGCAUGGAGAUACAGUUAAACAUUUAUGGCUUACAGAUGGGCAUGCGUAUGAUUAGCUAGUUGGUGAGGUAACGGCUCACCAAGGCAACGAUCAUUAGGGGUUCUGAGAGGAAGGUCCCCCACACUGGUACUGAGACACGGACCAGACUCCUACGGGAGGCAGCASUGAGGAAUAUUGGUCAAUGGGCGAGAGCCUGAACCAGCCAAGUCGCGUGAAGGAUGACUGCCCUAUGGGUUGUAAACUUCUUUUGUAAGGGAAUAAAAAAAGGUACGUGUACUUUAUUGUAUGUACUUUACGAAUAAGGAUCGGCUAACUCCGUGCCAGCAGCCGCGGUAAUACGGAGGAUCCAGGCGUUAUCCGGAUUUAUUG
rnacentral:rRNA from 1 species